rnacentral:rRNA from 1 species
UACGGGGGGGGCAAGCGUUGUUCGGAAUUACUGGGCGUAAAGGGCGUGUAGGCGGCCAACUAAGUCCGACGUGAAAUCCCCAGGCUUAACCUGGGAACUGCGUCGGAUACUGGAUGGCUUGAAUCCGGGAGAGGGAUGCGGAAUUCCAGGUGUAGCGGUGAAGUGCGUAGAUAUCUGGAGGAACACCGGUGGCGAAGGCGGCAUCCUGGACCGACACUGACGCUGAGGAGCGAAAGCCAGGGGAGCAAACGGG